rnacentral:rRNA from 1 species
GAUGAACGCUAGCGGCAGGCUUAACACAUGCAAGUCGAGGGGUAUAGUUCUUCGGAAUUAGAGACCGGCGCACGGGUGCAUAACGCGUAUGCAAUCUACCUUUCACAGAGGGAUAGCCCAGAGAAAUUUGGAUUAAUACCUCAUAGUAUUAUAGGAUGGCAUCAUUUUAUAAUUAAAGUCACAACGGUGAAAGAUGAGCA